GACGAACGCUGGCGGCGUGCCUAAUACAUGCAAGUCGAGCGGACCACUUCGGUGGUCAGCGGCGGACGGGUGAGUAACACGUGGGCAACCUGCCUGUAAGACUGGGAUAACACCGGGAAACCGGUGCUAAUACCGGAUAAUCCUUUCCUUCACAUGAAGGGAAUCUGAAAGACGGUUUCGGCUGUCACUUACAGAUGGGCCCGCGGCGCAUUAGCUAGUUGGUGAGGUAACGGCUCACCAAGGCAACGAUGCGUAGCCGACCUGAGAGGUUGAUCGGCCACACUGGGCAUGAGACGCGGCCCAGACUCCUACGGGAGGCAGCAGUAUGGAAUCCUCCGCAAUGGACGAAAGUCGGACGGAGCAACGACGCGUGAGCGAUGAAGGCCUUCGGGUCGUAAAGCUCUGUUGUCAGGGAAGAACAAGUACCGGAGUAACUGCCGGUACCUUGACGGUACCUGACCAGAAAGCCACGGCUAACUACGUGCCAGCCGCCGCGGUAAUAC
rnacentral:rRNA from 1 species